rnacentral:rRNA from 1 species
CCCUUAGAUGUUCUGGGCCGCACGCGUGCUACACUGAGUGGAUCAGCGGGUCGGGUUGCGCGAAAGCGUUUCCUAAUCUUUAAAUCCGCUCGUGAUGGAGAUUGACGGUUGCAAUUUUCUGUCAUGAACGAGGAAUACCUUGUAAGCGCGGGUCAUCAUCCCGCGCUGAAUACGUCCCUGCCCUUGUACACACCGCCCGUCGCUCCUACCGAUUGAGUGGUCCGGUGAGGCUUUGGGAUCUGAGCGGAAAGAGCGUUUCGCUGUUUCUGCUCGGAAAACUCAGUCGAACCUUAUCAUUUAGAGGAAGGAGAAGUCGUAACA